UGUGAAAUGAAAAAUGAUAAAUACCAACCUGACGUUGCAGAAGAGAUCAAGACUUCUAAACAAGCUCGGUCCCUUCCAUAGUGCCUUCUGGACUUUAAGUUGGAUGAUGAUACUGGGCAUGCCUCCUAUAUGUGCACAACAAGACUUGAAGCUCCUUCCAUUCUGCAGUGUUGUCAUGUUCGCUGAUUUAUCUUCAGCACCUGGAAUGAUGCCUGGAACCCAAGUGGAAUUCAAUGUUUGCCAGAAGGCUGACCAACUGAUAAUAG